rnacentral:rRNA from 1 species
UACGAGGGGGGCAAGCGUUGUUCGGAAUUAUUGGGCGUAAAGGGUGCGUAGGCGGUCUAUUAAGUCAGCGGUGAAAUACUCCAGCUUAACUGGAGGGGUGCCAUUGAUACUGAUGGACUUGAGUCAAGUCGAGGUAGGCGGAAUUGACGGUGUAGCGGUGAAAUGCUUAGAUAUCGUCAAGAACACCAAUAGUGAAGACAGCUUACUGGGCUUAAACUGACGCUGAGGCACGAAAGUGUGGGGAUCAAACAGG